UACGUAGGGUGCGAGCGUUAAUCGGAAUUACUGGGCGUAAAGCGUGCGCAGGCGGUUCGUUAAGACAGAUGUGAAAUCCCCGGGCUUAACCUGGGGAACUGCAUUUGUGACUGGCGAGCUAGAGUAUGGCAGAGGGGGGUAGAAUUCCACGGUGUAGCAGUGAAAUGCGUAGAGAUGUGGAGGAAUACCGAUGGCGAAGGCAGCCCCCUGGGCCAAUACUGACGCUCAUGCACGAAAGCGUGGGGAGCAAACAGG
rnacentral:rRNA from 1 species